UUAGAUGAUGAUGCCUUGAUUUGCAUAUGAAAUCGAUUUUCUGUGCUGCAUUGACCAGCUAAUCUGUCAGCUCUGAAGCUAGCAUUAACCCAGCAAACCCAAUUGACAUGAGUUUGCAAUAUUUCCACUGCAAGCAACCCAGCAGCACCAUAAAAGCAAGUGAGAAAAGUUUUGCAAAGCUAAGCAUUAACCCAUUGGUAUGCAGCUCAGUUCUAGGAUUUAAUUCGAUAAUGUUGAUAGUUGGUGGUUAUGUUGCCAAUGUUUGCUGACAAAGCUUGACUUUAGCAUAUCCUAAAAUCAUUAUUCUGAAAAUGUAUUUAUGUCUUUGUUGUAGAAGUCAUGGAAUGUAAACCAGAAGAGCUCUGCGAUCAGACAUUUGACCGAUGGACCAGGAAGCUCGGAGGCGGGACUUAUUCAUCAGAGGUCUAUGAGAGCGGGCCAGGCACAGUUAUACAUAAUAUACAUACACUUCAUAGGGUUUGUGUAUGUUGUUUGGUUGUUGUAAAUGCUAAUACAUUUGUUUCAAAAGAUAAAGCUUUUGUGUUAAUUAACAAUACAUCAGAGAAAGACAGAGGUAAAUGUGGAAUAAUAUUACAGAUUUAAUUGGUGCCGAGUUGGUGUACAGUAAUCCUUUCAAUCUGACAGUUGAGAAGUGUGCAUUGUUGCAGGAGCCGAAGUGACAUCCAGAUUAAUAUGAAUAGGGCCCUUGUGUACAUGCACAUGAUGAGCAUCACGUCACACAUCAGCAUGGUUGCCACUGCUGCACACUGGUAAUGUAUAUGGUCAUACAAAUGUUCACCUACAAGAACAAUUACUGGGUAUUCACUGCUUCCCAGUACCCACAGGUAUUACACAUGUAACCAAAGUAAUGUUGAAGUACUAAUAGUCAGAGAUGUUAAACAAAUGCCUAUUUAUGUGCAGUACAGUACAGACAUUAAAGUUGUUCUAGCUAUUGUGUGAUUAGUGUUGAUCAUACAGUCAACAGCAACAGGAUAGUAGGGCCUGCCUCUUCUUCCCACACAUUCAGUGAAGCAGUUGGUCUCUCAACUCAUUCAGCAUGGAUGACAGUCUUGACACAAUCCUCUCCAUCCAUCUCCAUCUCAUGCCUCGUUAUUGCGACAUUCAUGUUUUUUCCCAUCUAUUGAAAGUUAGGAUAUUAAACAUGUUGCAUUCUA